ensembl:misc_RNA 7SK 7SK RNA
GGAUGUGAGGGUGAUCUGGCUGCGACCUCUGUGAGCCCAUUGAUUGCUGGCGUUGAUUUGGCUGAUCUGUCCCCUGCCUCCGUCCCCACUCUGUGUCCAUCCCUCCCCAAACUGCGUGCUCACCCUGCUGAAGAGGACGUCCACCCAUGACAGAGGAGGACCGUUUCCUCUCGGUCAAGGGUGUAGGAGUAGGUGCAUUCCCCUGCUGGAGCCUCUAAACAAGCUCCCAGGAAAUAGUCCAGAAUAUUGCUCAAUAUCAUCUUGAUCUACGAAUGCAUCUGUUCUUC